rnacentral:rRNA from 1 species
UACGGGGGGAGCAAGCGUUGUUCGGAUUUACUGGGCGUAAAGGGCGCGUAGGCGGUCAGCACAAGUCAGUUGUGAAAUCUCCGGGCUUAACUCGGAAAGGUCAACUGAUACUGUGCGACUAGAGUGCAGAAGGGGCAACUGGAAUUCUCGGUGUAGCGGUGAAAUGCGUAGAUAUCAGGAGGAACACCUAUAGCGAAGGCAGCUCGCUGGGACGACACUGACGCUGAGACGCGAAAGCGUGGGGAGCAAACAGG